rnacentral:rRNA from 1 species
CUCCGGUCAUAUUGGCGGUGGCGGAUCAACCCCGUGCGCCAAACUGUCCGCUCUAACAGACCGAAACGGUUCCCUGUGAGUAGGCCCCUUCAUUGGGGUCGAAAGCGCCUACGCAUCAACCAUAUGCAUACGGGACGUCGGUCAAAGUUACUGUGAACAAACCAGCGUGUCCAAAGCAGGCCUUCGCCUGAAUGUUCGAGCAUGGAAUAACAAGGGAUCGAUUCUCUCGGUUCUUUUUGUUGGUUUUUAACCCGAGAAGGAGUAAUUCAGGCCACGGUGUCUGAGUUGGGUUUCCCGAGGCUUCGGCUGAGGCCCCAAUUAGGCCGUGUCCUUACGGGAUCAAUAGGGACUGACGGGGUCGUACGUACUUCCGCGUCAGAGGUGAAAUUCUUAGAUCGCGGGAAGACGAACUUCUGCGAAAGCAUUCGACAAGAAUGUCUUCAUUAAUCAAGAACGAGGGUGUGGGGAUCGAAGAUGAUCAGAUACCGUCGUAGUCCACUACUGUAAACAAUGCUGUCUCAGGAUUGAGAAGUGAACUGAAUGACUUUCACAGCACUAACCCCUGAAACGAGAAAUCAAAGAUUAUGGGUUCAGGGGGGAGUACAUUCGCAAGGCUGAAACUUAAAGGAAUUGACGG